GUGGGGAAUCUUCCGCAAUGGACGAAAGUCUGAUGGAGCAACGCCGCGUGAGUGAAGAAGGUUUUCGGAUCGUAAAGCUCUUUCGUUAGGGACGAACGUGCUCUUUGGGAAUAAUGAGGAGUAAUGACGGUACCUAAAUAAGAAGCCACGGCUAACUACGUGCCAGCAGCCGCGGUAAUCCGUAGGUGGCAAGCGUUGUCCGGAAUUAUUGGGCGUAAAGCGCGCGCAGGCGGGAUAUCAAGUCUGUCCGAAGAGUGCGAGGCUCAACCUCGUGAGGGGACAGAAACUGGUAUUCUUGAGUGUCGGAGAGGAAAGUGGAAUUCCAAGUGUAGCGGUGAAAUGCGUAGAGAUUUGGAAGAACACCAGUGGCGAAGGCGACUUUCUGGACGAUGUCUGACGCUGAGGCGCGAAAGCUAGGGGAGCGAACGGGAUUAGAUACCCGAGUAGUCC
rnacentral:rRNA from 1 species